rnacentral:rRNA from 1 species
AUGGAGGCCGAGACGCUCGAGUGUGGCGCGGCCGGCGGCGACGCGGCGGCGUUCGUGCUCUCGCGCCUGCCGCACCCGGACGAUGCGGCGGCCGGGGCGCGCGCGGCGUACGUGGACGCGGCCACGGGCCGCGCGCUCUCCUUCGCGGGCCUGCGCGGCGCCGCGCUCUCGCUCGCCUCCGCGCUGCGUCUCGGGCUCGGGAUCCGCCGCGGCGACGCCAUCCUCGUGGCGCUCCCCUCGCCCGACGACGACCCGCUGCUGCUCCCGCCCAUCCUCCUCGGCGUCCUCGCGGCCGGCUGCGUGGCCGUCGUCGCUGCCCCGGGCGCCAAGGUAGACGCCGUGGCGCGGGAGUCCGGCGCCGCGAUCGUCGUCGGCGCGCCGGGGACGGGCGGCGGGCUGCCGCUGCUGCUCAUGGCGAGGUCGCCGGACCCACGGACGGUGUCGGCGGAGGAGCUCAUGGAAGGCGGCGACCCGGCCGCGCUCGACGCCAUUGCCGCGGACCGGCCAGACCACUGGGACCCGGCCCUCGUGGUCCACUGCUCGUCGACGACCAGCAAGGUGGCCAUGACGCACGCCGACCUGAUCGCCACCGUGGCCGGCGCGGUCUCACCCGACGAAGACCGGGUCUGCCUUGCCACACUCCCGGCGUGGGGAACCAGCGUCCACGGCGGGCUGGCGCUCCUCGCCCUCGGGCUCCCCGCGGCCGACCUGCGCGCCGCGGUGGCCGCCCACAGCGCCACCGACGUCGUCGCGACCCCCGAGGCGGCCGCGGCACUCUUUGCUCCCGCACUGCCACAAGGGAAGCUCGCCACGCUGCGGAGGGUGACAGCGGUGACGCCGCUCGCAGAUGACUCACGGCAGGCGUUUCGGCGCAGGCUAUCGUGGGUCGAUCUGGCAGAGAUGUCAGGCGCGCCGGAGAUGGGAGCGGCGACGGCGGAGUCACCGGAGCAGGUGCAGGUGGCUCCUGCACCUCUGGGGCCUCUGCUGCUCGUGCAACCUGAUGCUGCAGCCACACAAAAUAUCUUCAGGCUGAAGGGCAAAAUACCAGAUCAAAUGCCAUCGCCAAGCGAGGCUACCUCUCUGGUGUCGCCUCUUCAGAAGAUCCAAAAGACUGUUCUCAGUGAAGUCUUCGCAAAAUCAGUCGCGGGCAAGUUCUUGAGGAGGAGCCCGGUAGCCUGCGACAAACAAGCCGUCUCAAAACUGUAG